AUUGAACGCUGGCGGCAGGCCUAACACAUGCAAGUCGAGCGGGGUUUUCGGACCUAGCGGCGGACGGGUGAGUAAUGCGUAGGAAGCUACCCGAUAGAGGGGAUACCAGUUGGAAACGACUGUUAAUACCGCAUAAUGUCUACGGACCAAAGUGUGGGACCUUCGGGCCACAUGCUAUUGGAUGCGCCUACGUGGGAUUAGCUAGUUGGUGGGGUAAUGGCUCACCAAGGCGACGAUCCCUAGCUGGUUUGAGAGGAUGAUCAGCCACACUGGAACUGAGACACGGUCCAGACUCCUACGGGAGGCAGCAGUGGGGAAUAUUGGACAAUGGGCGCAAGCCUGAUCCAGCCAUGCCGCGUGUGUGAAGAAGGCCUUCGGGUUGUAAAGCACUUUCAGUAGGGAGGAAGGGUGUUGUGUUAAUAGCACAGCAUUUUGACGUUACCUACAGAAGAAGCACCGGCUGACUCUGUGCCAGCAGCCGCCGUAACAC
rnacentral:rRNA from 1 species